GUAGUCCUAAAAUUUAUGAGCGGACUGUUUGGAUGGAAUCAUAAUCUUUAGGAUGUUAGAGGGGAAAUGACUUUUGUACCCCUAAUUACUCCACCCCUGCUCUGUUUCUAGCGCCGUGGAGAGAGAAGGGGAGGGGCAACAAGGGUAAAGGAUGGGUUGGGGACCACUUUUAGGAGAAAAAUGACCCAUUAUGAUGGUUUGGUCCUCCUAAUGAAAACAACACUCCUAAACAUUAUGAAUGCACUUUUAUGACAUAUGUUUGGAUGCACAAGUCCUAAAAGUGGACUAAAAGUGAAGUCCUAAAAAUUAUGAGUGUGUA
rnacentral:lncRNA from 1 species